rnacentral:rRNA from 1 species
AGCAGUCGCCGCGGGAAUACGAAGGGUGCAAGCGUUAAUCGGAAUUACUGGGCGUAAAGCGUGCGUAGGCGGUUUGUUAAGUCUGCUGUGAAAUCCCCGGGCUCAACCUGGGAAUGGCAGUGGAUACUGGCAAGCUAGAGUGUGUCAGAGGAUGGUGGAAUUCCCGGUGUAGCGGUGAAAUGCGUAGAGAUCGGGAGGAACAUCAGUGGCGAAGGCGGCCAUCUGGGACAACACUGACGCUGAGGCACGAAAGCGUGGGGAGCAAACAGGAUUAGAUACCCCUGUAGUCCCUGUCUCUUAUAC